rnacentral:rRNA from 1 species
GACGAACGCUGGCGGCGUGCUUAACACAUGCAAGUCGAACGGAAAGGCCCUUCUGGUGGUGGGUGCGCGACUGACGAACGGGUGAGUAGCAAGUGAGUAGCCUACCCUUUACUUUGGGAUCACUUCAGGAAACUGGGGCUAAUACCGUAUAGGAGCUCCGGCUGGAUGGGGGGGGUUGGAAAGGUUCGGCGGUUGGGGAUGGACUCGCGGCUUAUCAGCUUGUGGGUGGGGUGGUGGCUUACGAAGGCUUUGACGGGUGGCCGGCCUGGGUGGGUGACCGGCAAAAUUGGGCCUGAGAUCCGCCCCGGCCCCCUCCGGGAGGCAGAAGUGGGGAAUAUUCAACAAUGGCGGGAACCCUAUUGAACAAACGCCGCGUCGGGGAUGACGGCCUUCGGGUUGUAACCCGCUUCAGCAUGUGCCGAAGCGUGAGUGACGGUAAUGGGUAAAGAAGCACCGGCUAACUACGUG